CAACUCCACUGACUCCGAGACAACUGCUCCUAUUUACCUCAACCAUGAGCCUGUCCCCAGCGCCGAAACGUCGAUCUGAUGAUUACCAGCUAGACUUGUUCCGACAAAUUAACAUGAAAAAAAGAGAAACAAUGAAAAAGCAACUCCUUGAAUGUAACACUUAGGAGAUGUGUACCUACUGGAAUACCAAAAAUGCAGGAACUCGGGAAAUGAGAGAGCAUCUAAACAGUAUCAGAAGUUGAAGUUUUUCCCUGAGACAUCAUGUUCUUUUGUCAGCACGUUGCCCAGUUAACACACAAUGAUCAAAGAUCUGCAAUUCUAGUGUCACAUUUAAUACCUAUAUAUUUUAAUUGUCACUUACAUUGCAAAUGUCAUUAACGAAGCCUUAAGGAAUGCCUCAUUGUAUGAGUAGGUUUGCAGAUACCCUCUUCAGUCAACCUAAGAACAGUGCUUCUAUUUCAGCUCUAUGUAGAUACAUGCACAUACUCUUUGUUUCACUUCUUACACCAAUGAAUAAUUUCACAUUAGUUCUGUGCAUACUGAAGUAAAGAAAAGAAUCUUCACUUUUUCAGUUCUCUUUCAUUACACCAACCAUUUUCAUUUCUUACUAUGUUUCAUGUACUCUUAAGUUUUUCUCUUCACCACCAAUACUUUCACCCCGAGAAUGGUUUUAAGUUAUUAGAGGCCAUGCUAAAAAAUCCCCAAACAACUAAGAUUAAUAGAAAGACAGCCUCUGCUAUGGAAACUGUUAAUUCAGUAUAAUGGCUGCUCUGUUGUAAUUUGUUACAGCGAGAAUUUAUAUUCACUGACCAGCAGAUCUGAUCUACUGUUUAUAUGUCUAUUCAGAAUUGUAUAUAAUUGUAUAAUUCUGAUGGCAUAGACUCCUCUAUCCCUCUUUAUAUAAAAAAAGUGUGUUGUGACCAACUUGCUAUCACAGACUGACACAUUUAAAAUUGCAUACAUUAUUUAGUAAUAGCUUAUGUAUAAUUUUAUUUGUUUUCAGAGUUACAAUGUUCAUGAGAUAAUCAUAGAGAACACAUUAUAUAUUAUUGUUAAACACAUUUUUGCCACAAAAAGUUGAGAGCAUUGGUAGAAAAUCCUAUGUCAAGUUAUCUGAAAAUAUUUAUCACCUGUAACCAUAAUUUCAUAAAACCAAUAUACACUUUACGUAAUAUUAUAUCAGCGAAGUCCUUCUUUUUGCAAAUAACCUUUGCUCUAUACUUAUGCAUGUUUGUAGUUCAGUGCAUCAAAUGCUUCUGUGUGUGUGUGUCUGCAAUGCACAGGAAAAAUACUAGUUUACUCCUAUGGUAACUGUAAAUGUCAACACCACUGGACCCAAGAAUGGUGAAUACAAGAUCUUAAUUUUAGCGAAUAAUCACCUUCAUAUUUUUCUACCUAAUGCUGAACAAAACAUUAAUUGGCAUUUACCUCCUAAUGUUUACAGAACAUAGACUGUAUAUUUCAAAGACAUAAUCCUUACCAACUAUAUACUGACUUUUAUUUUAAUGUCUAUUAUAUAAAUUAGGACUCUGUUGAAUUCUUAUACUGAGGAACAAAUGAUAGUAACUUUAUUUAAAUACAUGCACAGUACCGUGCACUACAGCAUGAUGAAGUAUUAUUUUUAAAAUGGAUGAAUGAAUCAAUAGAAAAAUAGAUUUAAUAAAUAAUUAACAUUUUAAAGUCUGGAUAAAAAUGGGAAAUCAUGCAUUUCAAGCAAAAUUUUAUUUUUUCCUUGUUUUUUAUGAAAUCUCUGAGAACUUAAGACAUGCAGAGCUGAGAAGCAGCUCACUCUGAACAAAGAACAAUGUAAAGACUGCACAAAAAAUUUUGUUUGAGAUUGUUUAUAUGCAUGACUGAAAAAAUUUGCCAUUCUUCGACUUCCCUUCAACAUUAGACAGUGCUGUGCAAACCUCAGACAAAUCCCUGUAUUAUGAUUUCUAAGCUGUUAGGAAGUCUCUCAGAGAGCUAAGAAAGUUAAAACCUGAGCAACUGCCUCACCAAAAUUUAUGACAAGAAAUCUCUGGAUUUCAGAGAGCAAACUACAAAAGGGUAAUAGACAACAGGUCAUCAUUUCCUUGAGAGAUUAACUUAGGGGAUGAGUAAUUAUGGAUAGCAUAAAUUUAUAAAUUAUUCUGACAGAAAAAGAUAUGUUUAAUUUUUUAAUAUUUAGAGUUCGUAUCUAUGUCUCAAUAUUUAGCACAUGUUACUAUGUCAAUCAACUCAUGAAACAAUGAAAAGGGAGUAUUUACUUUAAAAUAAUUUAAUGUUUUUCCCUACCCAAACAUUUGUCUGGACAUUGACACUGCAAUCAAAAGAACUGUAAAUUUUCAGAAGUGAAUCUACUCCAGUGAGUUUGAUUAAUUAUGCAUUAACCCAUUUCUCUGAAGCAUCCUUCACUAAAUCUUUGGUGGGAAAUGCACUUUAAUUAGGCAUGAGCUUUGGUUAUUUGUGUGCAUAUGCACUAUGCUAUUGGUCUGUGUGGAGAAUGAUUUAAAGUUUUCCAUGUUACAGAGAUGUAUUGCUCAUGGAAAUAAUUCUAGGCUUUCAACAAACACUGAUGGCUAGUUUUGCAAUUAUUAUUAUCUUCACUCAGCAUGAUCUUAGUCCCAUAGUUUUUGCUCAAACUUUCAUCAACUUUUAAUCUUAACGAAAGCUUACUCUACUUACACGAGAACAAUCAUGAUCAUUAAUACUGUGCAUAUUGUUAGAUGUUUUCAGCAGGUACAGUUACACAUAUACAUAGGAGUUAUCAGAAUAACUUACAGGAUUUUAAUACUUAGUUGAAUAAAAAUAUUCUCAGGGUAGAAA